rnacentral:rRNA from 1 species
CUUUCGGGUUGUAAACCUCUUUCAGCAGGGAAGAAGCGAAAGUGACGGUACCUGCAGAAGAAGCGCCGGGCUAACUACGUGCCAGCAGCCGCGGUAAUACGUAGGGCGCGAGCGUUGUCCGGAAUUAUUGGGCGUAAAGAGCUCGUAGGCGGCUUGUCACGUCGGUUGUGAAAGCCCGGGGCUUAACCCCGGGUCUGCAGUCGAUACGGGCAGGCUAGAGUUCGGUAGGGGAGAUCGGAAUUCCUGGUGUAGCGGUGAAAUGCGCAGAUAUCAGGAGGAACACCGGUGGCGAAGGCGGAUCUCUGGGCCGAUACUGACGCUGAGGAGCGAAAGCGUGGGGAGCGAACAGGAUUAGAUACCCUGGUAGUCCACGCCGUAAACGGUGGGCACUAGGUGUGGGCGACAUUCCACGUCGUCCGUGCCGCAGCUAACGCAUUAAGUGCCCCGCCUGGGGAGUACGGCCGCAAGGCUAAAACUCAAAGGAAUUGACGGGGGCCCGCACAAGCGGCGGAGCAUGUGGCUUAAUUCGACGCAACGCGAAGAACCUUACCAAGGCUUGACAUACACCGGAAAGCAUCAGAGAUGGUGCCCCCCUUGUGGUCGGUGUACAGGUGGUGCAUGGCUGUCGUCAGCUCGUGUCGUGAGAUUGUUGGGUUAAGUCCCGCAACGAGCGCAACCCUUGUCCCGUGUUGCCAGCAGGCCCUUGUGGUGCUGGGGACUCACGGGAGACCGCCGGGGUCAACUCGGAGGAAGGUGGGGACGACGUCAAGUCAUCAUGCCCCUUAUGUCUUGGGCUGCACACGUGCUACAAUGGCCGGUACAAUGAGCUGCGAUACCGCGAGGUGGAGCGAAUCUCAAAAAGCCGGUCUCAGUUCGGAUUGGGGUCUGCAACUCGACCCCAUGAAGUCGGAGUCGCUAGUAAUCGCAGAUCAGCAUUGCUGCGGUGAAUACGUUCCCGGGCCUUGUACACACCGCCCGUCACGUCACGAAAGUCGGUAACACCCGAAGCCGGUGGCCCAACCCCU